UGGGGAAUAUUGGACAAUGGGCGCAAGCCUGAUCCAGCCAUGCCGCGUGAGUGAUGAAGGCCCUAGGGUUGUAAAGCUCUUUCACCGGUGAAGAUAAUGACGGUAACCGGAGAAGAAGCCCCGGCUAACUUCGUGCCAGCAGCCGCGGUAAUACGAAGGGGGCUAGCGUGGUUCGGAUUUACUGGGCGUAAAGCGCACGUAGGCGGACUAUUAAGUCAGGGGUGAAAUCCCGGGGCUCAACCCCGGAACUGCCUUUGAUACUGGUAGUCUUGAGUUCGAGAGAGGUGAGUGGAAUUCCGAGUGUAGAGGUGAAAUUCGUAGAUAUUCGGAGGAACACCAGUGGCGAAGGCGGCUCACUGGCUCGACACUGACGCUGAGGUGCGAAAGCGUGGGGAGCAAACAGG
rnacentral:rRNA from 1 species